rnacentral:rRNA from 1 species
UACGUAGGGGGCAAGCGUUGUCCGGAUUUAUUGGGCGUAAAGAGCGUGUAGGCGGCUAUUUAAGUCCUGCGUGAAAUCCUGCGGCUCAACCGCAGACGGUCGUGGGAAACUGGAUGGCUAGAGUGCGGGAGAGGAGAGUGGAAUUCCCGGUGUAGCGGUGAAAUGCGCAGAUAUCGGGAAGAACACCCGUGGCGAAGGCGGCUCUCUGGAACGCAACUGACGCUGAGACGCGAAAGCUAGGGGAGCAAACAGG